AGUGUUGUACUUUAAUAAAAAGUUUAAUUUUGCAAGUUAAGAUUGGCAUAAAAUAGGCCCUACACUA
rnacentral:tRNA from 2 species